GUGCCAGCAGCCGCGGUAAUACGGAGGGUGCAAGCGUUAGUCGGAAUUACUGGGCGUAAAGGGCGCGUAGGCGGGAAUGUAAGUCAGAUGUGAAAUACCGAAGCUCAACUUCGGCUGUGCAUCUGAAACUGCGUUUCUAGAGGAAAAGUGGAGAAAACGGAAUUCCAUGUGUAGCGGUGAAAUGCGUAGAUAUAUGGAAGAACACCUGUGGCGAAAGCGGUUUUCUAACUUACUCCUGACGCUGAGGCGCGAAAGCAAGGGGAGCAAACAGGAUUAGAUACCCUGGUAGUCCUUGCCCUAAACGAUGUAUACUUGGUGUAGAAAGGCUCAACCCUGACUGUACCGUAGCUAACGCGAUAAGUAUACCGCCUGGGGAGUACGCUCGCAAGGGUAAA
rnacentral:rRNA from 1 species